AUUGAACGCUGGCGGAAUGCUUUACGCAUGCAAGUCGAACGGCAGCACGGACUUCGGUCUGGUGGCGAGUGGCGAACGGGUGAGUAAUGUAUCGGAACGUGCCCAGUCGUGGGGGAUAACGUAGUGAAAAUUACGCUAAUACCGCAUACGAUCUAUGGAUGAAAGCGGGGGAUCGCAAGACCUCGCGCGAUUGGAGCGGCCGAUAUCAGAUUAGGUAGUUGGUGGGUUAAAGGCCCACCAAGCCAACGAUCUGUAGCUGGUCUGAGAGGACGACCAGCCACACUGGAGCUGAGACACGGUCCAGACUCCUACGGGAGGCAGCAGUGGGGAAUUUUGGACAAUGGGCGAAAGCCUGAUCCAGCCAUUCCGCGUGCAGGAUGAAGGCCCUCGGGUUGUAAACUGCUUUUGUACAGAACGAAAAGGUUUCUACUAAUACUAGGAGCUCAUGACGGUACUGUAAGAAUAAGCACCGGCUAACUACGUGCCAGCCGCCGCCGUAA
rnacentral:rRNA from 1 species